AGCGAACGCUGGCGGCAGGCUUAACACAUGCAAGUCGAGCGGGCACUUUCGGGUGUCAGCGGCGGACGGGUGAGUAACGCGUGGGAACGUGCCCUCUGGUUCGGAAUAACUCAGGGAAACUUGAGCUAAUACCGGAUACGCCCUUUUGGGGAAAGGCUUGCUGCCGGAGGAUCGGCCCGCGUCUGAUUAGCUAGUUGGUGAGGUAACGGCUCACCAAGGCGACGAUCAGUAGCUGGUCUGAGAGGAUGAUCAGCCACACUGGGACUGAGACACGGCACAGACUCCUACGGGAGGCAGCAGUGGGGAAUAUUGGACAAUGGGCGCAAGCCUGAUCCAGCCAUGCCGCGUGAGUGAUGAAGGCCUUAGGGUUGUAAAGCUCUUUUAUCCGGGACGAUAAUGACGGUACCGGAGGAAUAAGCCCCGGCUAACUUCGUG
rnacentral:rRNA from 1 species